rnacentral:tRNA from 1 species
GGGGAGUUACCCAAGCGGCCAAAGGGGACAGACUGUAAAUCUGUUGGCUUAACGCCUUCGAAGGUUCGAAUCCUUCACUCCCCA